AACCUGGUUGAUCCUGCCAGUAGUGUAUGCUUCUCCUAAAGACUAAGCCAUGCAUGCCUAAGAAUAAGAGGAAGCAAUUCUCUCUGAAUCUGCGAACGGCUCCGCAAACCAGUUGUAAACUAUAGCAAGCAAGCCCGGGAUCGGCCUUCACGGGCUGGUUCCGGGUGAUAUGGAUAACCCUGGUAAUUCUGAGGCUAAUACAUGACCGUAAAACCUAGCUGACCGGCUUCGGCUGGGAUGCUGGGGGACGUGUGAUUUGGGCUUGGUAACACCGGGAAGGGGCGCACGUCUAGACCACGCUAUAAAGGUCGGUUUCCCCUUCGGGGGGGGCUGUCCCAGUGGCUCUUGCUGUGUGCUUCUGACCUAUCAACUAGACGGCAGCGUAAGGGACAUGCUAUGGUGACAACGGGUACAGAGGAUUAGGGUUCGAUCCUGGAGAGUGGGCCUGAGAGAUUGCUCAUACUUCUAAGGAAGGCAGCAGGCGCGCAACGUUCCCCUUGGGCAAUGCCCGAGGGCGUUAGGGGACAUAUGAAUGCCUGCCCAUUGGGUGGGCAAUUCAAAUGGGUCUGUUGUAAACAGGCUCUCGAGUAACAAUUAGAGGACAAGUCUG
rnacentral:rRNA from 1 species